rnacentral:rRNA from 1 species
CCUACGGGAGGUAGCAGUGGGGAAUAUUGCACAAUGGGCGCAAGCCUGAUGCAGCCAUGCCGCGUGUGUGAAGAAGGCCUUCGGGUUGUAAAGCACUUUCAGCGGGGAGGAAGGCGGUGAGGUUAAUAACCUCAUCGAUUGACGUUACCCGCAGAAGAAGCACCGGCUAACUCCGUGCCAGCAGCCGCGGUAAUACGGAGGGUGCAAGCGUUAAUCGGAAUUACUGGGCGUAAAGCGCACGCAGGCGGUCUGUCAAGUCGGAUGUGAAAUCCCCGGGCUCAACCUGGGAACUGCAUUCGAAACUGGCAGGCUAGAGUCUUGUAGAGGGGGGUAGAAUUCCAGGUGUAGCGGUGAAAUGCGUAGAGAUCUGGAGGAAUACCGGUGGCGAGGGCGGCCCCCUGGACAAAGACUGACGCUCAGGUGCGAAAGCGUGGGGAGCAAACAGGAUUAGAUACCCCUGUAGUC